GGGUGAAUGUUUCACGGGUAAAGACCUUUUUCGUAACGAGUGAAGGUGAAGUGAGCAGACUGUGCAGCUCAGAUUCCAGCUGCGUCCCCGUCACUGCCCUCGGGAGUGUGCCGGAAGGACCCCAGAGAGCUGGCCCACUGGGAUGAGCUUACAGCCUUGGGGCCCCAAAGUGCAAGGAUGGUCAGCAUUCCUGGUGCUCUGGGUUCAGCAAGACCUGACUGAGGGACUCUCUUUUCUGGUUGUUGGCUGAGUAUGUAAUGUCCACUCUGGGUCAUCUAAGGGCCGAGCCCCAGUACUCUGUUCCUGCUGUGACCCGUGCUUCUGCUACCACAUACUGCACAAGAGGUGGAAAGUAGGAACUGCAGCCCAGCAAGCCAUGGACCCAGGCAAUCCUAAAACUGCAAAGUCACCUGUGUUGAUUCCAGCCAGCGUUUACCUCCACGAUGGACGGGACUCACGUGGUACAAGUGACGCAGGGUCAAGCUGGACUGUUGGUUUUCUGCUCCGCCUCUGCUUCCUCUCCGCAUCCUGGACUCUAAAGAAGAUGAAUGAAAUGUCUGCUCUGGUUGCUGGCUGUUUCAUCUCCAACUUAACCUCAGUCUGUGGUUGUGGAGGGCCUCAGAAGUCAGGAAGGUCCCCCGCCGCCAACCUGGGGAGGGUGGGGCUGGACCCAGGUUCCAGCACAGCCCUGACACGCAGUGUGGUCAGUGGGACAUGUUGGCAUGUCUGCAAGGCUGUAGCGCUGCCAGCCCCCCUAUGCUGCCUUCUUGAGGGCUGGCGGUGCCCUUCAGGACUGGCUGCAUCCUUCGUCCCAUUUGAGUGGGCAGUAGUAGAUAAUAAAAUCUCAGAAUAUCCCUUGACCCCUGACCAUCCAGGCAGGCAUCUGCGGUCCUGCAGCUCAGGCCUGCCUGGGCCCUGUCAAGCCCCUGUGGCCAAUCACUGAGCUGACCUUGCUGCUGGGCAAUUGAACAGCUACCUGGGCAGCGUAGACGGCCCCUUGGGAUGUUUCAGUUCCCUACAUCCAUGUGAUUGAGAAAAGGGCCUCCUCCCUCAUAGCCUCUCAGCCUUUCGAGAAGAAAUAACCCUCCAGACAUUGAGUGUGGCCCUGGCCACAACCAGCAUACAGCAGACCGUGGCCCUGCAAUCCUUUGGCCUUCGGGUUGUUGCAAACCUUUGACAUUCAUACUCAUUAAAAAUCAAAGGAAUGGGAGCAAGUGGCUUCCCAACUGGUGUUUUCCCUCUGAGGCUAUGUGGUCUCCAGGAGCCAUGCGCAUCCCGGGCCUAGUCCCUGCGGCCUCCGGAAAGCCA